GUCGUCGAUGAUGAUGAUUUAAUUUCUUACAUUGUUGCAGGAUUAGAUGACGACUUUGAGCCGGUGGUGUCCAAUAUUGUGGGUAGAUUGUAUCCAAUUUCUGUAGGAGAAGCUCUUGCGCAACUCCUCAGCUUUGAGC
rfam:Oryza brachyantha chromosome 9, whole genome shotgun sequence.